GCCAGAGCUCGCCGAGAGCCGGCGAAGCUCCUUGGGGCAGUUUAAUACUUGCCUGCCCCGAGCCGCCCUGUGCCCGUCUCUCACCCCGGAGGUUCUCACAAGCAAUAAGGUUCUCCAAAAUGAUCUGUACAACCUCAUAUUUACCCCUGAGCAAGAAUUCUCACACAGGCCGUGCCUAAUGCAAGAUUCCUGAAGUAGCAGAGAGCAGAAGAUGAGACGUGUGGCUCCAGAGAGGAGGCCCUAGCUGCCAGCACAGACUGCCACAUCAGCAACAGGAGAGCUCCUAGGGAAGCAUCUGGAUGCCCAGGAGGAGACUUGGCUUUAGGUACAAAACCUGGAUGGAAAAUUGAAUUCAGAGUUAAAGAAAACCCAAAAAAAAACAACCCAAACCCACUCAUGCAGCAAAGUAUUUGAGAGCCCAUAUUCACACUGGGCAAAAGUUUGGAUUUUUUUCUACUUCUUUUUGUAUCUCUGGUUUCUGUUCCUGUUGGUUACUUUUCUUUCCUAACCUGUCAAGAAUUCCAAGAUGCCAGCAACAAGAAGCUGCUGUGAGGCUCCUUGGAUCGCUUCUGUUGGGAAACAGUCAGUGAAACAAGGAGUGCCACAGAUUUCAGCCUCACUGCCUGAGCUCCAGGGCUGAGUACAACACUUACAGUGGGGCUUGUCCUUAGUAUCACUGCUGGAACAGAGAUGUAAUAAAAAUAACUUAACCAUCUCUGUACUUCACAACCUAGGCAGGAAAGCAUAGGAGAGAUUUCAGGCAGUACAUAAGUAUAGGAGAGAAAUUUAGGAUAUGAAUUUGUUUUAAAGGGGCACGGAUCUUUCAGUGUUCCAAUUACCCAGGGGGCUGAGACAGAUGGAAGUCAGAGCCUUGUGUUGACAACACAACAAAACCACAAGAGCACAAAAGAAAGGAAAGCAUAAUGAUAAUUGUGCCCAUGUGUCCCACAGGAAAGAAACACGGGAUACAAUCAGAAAUGCAGAGGAUUUCACGUACCCCAGACACAUCUCUACAAACCCUGUGUCCAGGACAGACACCACAAACUUGGGUCCUUUUUCUCAGGGGUUUGUCCAAGCACCUGCAUUAAAGGAGGGCUCACGCUGGCUGUGACCUGGUCACGGAACAGGACACUGAGCUAAACUGGGACUUUUCCCCCUACAACCUACAAUUAGGUAAUCUACAGAAUUAAUUUCCUUCACGUCUAAAGAAGCUCUGUUUUGUGGUUUGGCGUGCAUUACUGUGUGUUAGUCACAGCCUGACUGAAGGGAAGUGCACCAUCAAAUUUACUGUAACAGCAAUUUUCCUUAAGGUACAUCAGCACAGAUGAGUUGGCAGACCCCUGGUACACGGCUUGAAACCAUCUGUGAUGCAACAUUGCCAUCUAUGGGAGCCCAGGCUGUAACAGAUUUACACAGAAACACCCACACUGCUGCUCUCUGCUUCUGUCCAUUUUUCAGCGUGGUAUUUACUUUCCUAAAACACUUCUCUUUAUAAAAGCUUUGUGCCACCAGGAGAAAUCAACCUACUGUCCUCUCAUCAUUUAUUUCUUUCAAGCCUACCCUUCAAAUUCUAACAGAUACCUCCAUUACUGGUAUUUAGACUUUAUGUGAUAAUUUCAGUUCACAGAAGCCAUGCUCCAAGUGUGUCAGCAUUUCUGGAACACUUAAAAUCAAAUAAGCAAAACGUAAACCCAAGUGCACACAAGGCAGUAGCCACAUCACUGGUAUGAAGUGGCAAACAAUAUUUGGAAUAUUAUUUCUAAUGUGCCCCAAAGUCCUCAGAGAGCAAAGACGCAACUCCAAAAUAUCAUUACAGAUCUUUUCAGACGUAACCUGCUGAACAUUAGUGCUAUGAGUAAUGCAGGAAUGAGCUGGAUAAAGAAGUACAAUGGUUACGUGUCAAGUUGUUAUUCACUUGGAGUGCUCUCUGAAUUAUUCCAUCCAUGGUUUUCUUUGUUCAUUUUAAUUAAUUCACCUUUGUUUUCUUUCCAUGAGAAAAAUAUGUUUUAAAAGGAAACCUCAGUCAAAAGAUGGUUGGAGAGCCUUGUUCACACUGAACUGUAUUGCAUAUUCAAAUCAAAAACCACAACCAUUCCUUCUGCCACCAUCCUGGUAUUUUAGGGUUCGUGCUGGAAGUCCGUAAGCAAUUCCUACCUCAAGCAAAGGGAAUCAAUAGCAGUGAGACAUUAAAAGCAUUUCUUUAGAUUAUUAACUCUGUUCUAGCAGAUGUUGCAGAGAGAUCUCACCUCUCUAGAGAAGGCCAGUUCAAAGUAAAUACAACAUCAUGAUCUUGAUUUCCCUUGUCAGACUAGAGCAUUUUCAAGUCUUUAGCCUCCCUUUUGCUGAACACAGGUCUGUGUGGGUUUUUUAAAAUUUUAUUUUGAAGCACAGCCUAGUCACAUCAGUCUAAAAACAGACCUUAGGGCACACUUCCAUUUCCCAUUUCAGGAUUUCCCACCCUACAGGAACUUUAGCAUGAGGUCUCCUCCUAUAGCACCAGAUAAAGCAGAAAACAAAUUAUAAUAGGAUGACUUAAUAUUUUUUAGAAUUGCUAGGAGGUGAAACAAAACCCUGCACAACAGGAUCAUUUAUUACAGAAUUCUAGAACACCAGUUUGGGAGUGCAUCACUAACGGAUUUUUCACUUAGAGGGUUUUUAAGUUUUAAAUUAUGGGAUAUAAAAAGCUCUGCUUGUGUGAGCUAACCUAGAAAAAAAGUCAUCCUUAGAAUGCAAUGGAAGCUUGAUAUCUAGAUGGCAAGGACAGAAGAGCAAAAAGAGAAAGAUAAAUGUUCUUUGUAGUUCCUCCUUUGAAACUACCACUCCUGGUUUCACCUUUAAUUCAGAGGUGGAUUAGAGUAUUAAAAGAGGCUCUGUAGAUGUGUUAAAGGGGACUCCCACUGGAGCUCUGGUCUAAUUAAGCUACUUUAUGAAUCAUUCCAGUUUGACUAACUCAAAAUUUCUUUUAAAAAAAUAAUCACUUAAUCCAUCAAACCAAGAGUUCAAGCCCCUUUGUUUUUAAUAAUCAAAGAAGAAAUGCUGGGGUUUGAGAUUUGUAAGCCAUCACUUCAUUUUAUGGAUGUACUCUUCAUGAUAAUUGCUCUGCCAGCAGCUGGCCUGCAUUGCUCUCUGCCAGCAGCACCUUUCCCUGCCCUCCUUAGCAGCCCUGCAGCAGAAUGCUGGUGUCACACGGAGAGAAAUGUCCCAACCCAUGGAGAUCAUCAGUCAGCAUCUUGGUGCUGGCUUGGCUGGAGAUCAGAGGAGCUGGAAUGGCUCUGGUGGCUUGGCUGGAGAUCAGCAGGAGCUGGAAUGGCUCUGCUGAAGUUCCUGCAGGGCACAGCAGAGCCCUGCCCAGCCCUGUAAGGAGCCCCUUGCAGGUACUGUGAGCAGGGCUGUACAAAAUGUGCCACCACCCAAACCAGCCCCUGGCCCAGCCUGAGCUGGGGCUGGGAGCAGAAGCACAACGGGGUGACCCCACUUCUGUCUGAGCACUGGGCCCCAGAGAGUCCAGUGGUGCUCUCUGGUGAAGCACAGCCUCUGUGGGUCACACAGCACAUGAUUCCCUGUGCUUUCCCAGAAAGGGGACAUGGGGGCAUGACCAAGGCUCCUAGAUCUGGUUUUGUGCCAGUUUGCAAUGCAGGGGGGCAGCAGCCAGCUUUUCUGGGUGAGACAAUCGGGUGAAUGGGACAUGCACCUGCUUUUAGUCUUGUUCUUGCAAGGAUUUACAAAACCAGACUGACUUGCUGACCAGCAGGGAAGUCACAAGAAGAGUCAUCAUGAGAACAAAGCAAAGGGGACACAGCUCUUACACAGUGUCACAUGUUACAGGGACAAACAACAAACCCAAGGGGGCUGAGCAGAGCUUAAACCUGCUCCUGCUUUAGUCUCUCCUGCUGCCCUUAAGUGUGGCCUGGGAAAAAGCUCCUCUCUCUCCAAGCUCCAGCCUUGCCCCCUUUUACUUCCCAGGAGCUGUCAGCUCCUUCAGGCCGAAGCAGAAGCUGGGAAGGAUUCUGUUAGGAAAUUGUGGGGCAGAGCCCAGAAGGCUUGAUGGAUACACACAGACAUCCAUCUCACUCACCAGGAACCCUUGUCUCAGUGUCAAAUGGGAAGUGGUGACAAAGGUCAGGCUGUGGAUUAAGCACAAACCCAAUUUUUUCUUUGAUGGUACCUCAAUAGGAGUAUUUAAAACACUGCAGUUUAUAUUUUCAUAGCUGAGUAAGCACCUAAGACAUAAAACAGUCACGUAAUUAGAGACACGUGGAGCAGCUCUAAUGCCAGAUGUAAAUGAAUGUGCGUUGGUUUAACAGAUAUUUCCACAUCAGUUUCUAUCAGCACACUCUCUGAAACCAAUACCUCCAAAGCUGUACAGGAACAAAGCGACACUGGGGUAUCAAAGUUACCUUACAGAGGAAUAAAAGCCUAAGACAAAAGUCACUACAGAGCUGGUAUGCACUGAUUUGCCUUUAUCAUCAGUACAAGUGUGUCCAGACAUAAUGAAGGGAUAAUAGAAGCUGGAAAAGAGAUUGUAUAGCUGGAGAAAGCCAGGAGUCAGGGAAUCCAGAUGUUUUUUACAUUUUAGAAUUUUACUUGAGGACAGGGCAGCAUUUUUGCUGUUGAUGUUGUUGCAAAUCAGCACUUCAUGCUUAAGUGCACCACAAGCAGCAAGUCCUCCCCUGACAUCUGGAAACAAGAAUACCCCAGGACAAGGCAUGCACUGCCAGCAGAAGCCAGAAAUGCCUUAACUGAGUUCUAAUGCACAAAACUCAGCUCCAAGUGUAUCCAUAUUUCAUCCCUACAUUUCUGAUUCUGUAACACAUUUUGAGCCAGAGCCAAAAUGUUGAGAUGAAAACCCCUAACAAUUUAUUGAGACAUCAAGACAACAAAAUAGACUUAUUUCUUAAUUAAAUAUAUGAAUACUCAAAGAAACCCAAACCACAUUCUGGUAUGCCUUUAUGGUUUUUUGCACUUUUGAUGUUAAUUAAGUUCUGCAUAUCUCGAACUGCUGCUGGAGAACUAAGACUAAUCUAUAACUCCUAUAAGUUGUCAUAGUUCCUCUGAAAUCAAGGGAGGUUUUGACAAUUUACACCAUCUGAGGAACUGCUCUGUGUGCCUAAUAAGACACACUGCUGUUUAAUUACAGGCAGG